rnacentral:hammerhead_ribozyme from 1 species
AGUUAGCUGACGAGUCCCAAAUAGGACGAAAUGCGCAUCCUGAAU